GAUGCAACGCGAAAAACCUUACCUACCCUUGACAUGGCUGGAAUCCUUGAGAGAUCAGGGAGUGCUCGAAAGAGAACCAGUACACAGGUGCUGCAUGGCUGUCGUCAGCUCGUGUCGUGAGAUGUUGGGUUAAGUCCCGCAACGAGCGCAACCCUUGUCWUUAGUUGGUUCGAAAGGGCACUUUAAUGAGACUGCCGGUGACAAACCGGAGGAAGGUGGGGAUGACGUCAAGUCCUCAUGGCCCUUAUGGGUAGGGCUUCACACGUCAUACAAUGGUACAUACAGAGCGCCGCCAACCCGCGAGGGGGAGCUAAUCGCAGAAAGUGUAUCGUAGUCCGGAUUGUAGUCUGCAACUCGACUGCAUGAAGUUGGAAUCGCUAGUAAUCGCGGAUCAGCAUGAUGCCGUGAAUACGUUCCCGGGCCUUGUACACACCGCCCGUCACAUCACGAAAGUGGAUUGUACUAGAAGUCUGCAGGCUAACCCGCAAGGGAGGCAGCGGCCCAAGGUAUGAUUCAUGAUUGGGGUGAAGUCGUAACAAGGUAACCGU
rnacentral:rRNA from 1 species